UACGGAGGGUGCAAGCGUUGUCCGGAUUUAUUGGGUUUAAAGGGUGCGUAGGUGGGGUGUCAAGUCUGGUUUGAAAGCUAGCUGCUCAACAGUUAGACGUGGCUGGAAACUGGGUGUCUGGAAUGGUUUGGCGGCUACCGGAACGGGUCAUGUAGCGGUGAAAUGCAUAGAUAUGACCUAGAACACCGAUUGCGAAGGCAGGCAGCUACGACCUGAUUGACACUGAGGCACGAGAGCAUGGGUAUCGAACAGG
rnacentral:rRNA from 1 species